GAGAGAGAGAGAGAGAGAGAGAAUCCUGAAUAAUCUCCCCUGCUGAAAACUUUUUCAGCUCACAGGACUGGGUCAUGAACUAGAAGGCUGCAAGCAAUGGGUGAAGCCAACAAGAGGUGUGUCAUUGCUCCAGGCUCCAACAGAGGACCCCCAAAAUUGGGUCAGAUUCUGGGAAAGACAGGAGUGAGAGGCAAUGAGGACAGUGGUCCGCAGGCUUCAUCUGGCUUACAGCUCAUCUGGGAUGCCCCAUCAAAAGCCAUCUGUCCCCCCCCCCCAGCCCCCAACACUCCUGAGACUAGAGCCCAUAGGAGCAGGCAAAGGCUGGAGGGCCGAAAGGGGUGAUACUGGACAGCACAGUGGCAGGGGAAAGAGGCUCCUCUUCCAGGGCAAAGUCUGGCCUGAGGCCCCAGUUUAAAAAAAACAACCAAAAAACAAAACAAAACAAAAAAAAAACCCAGGGGAUCAGAAGAAACAACAAAAGCACCUCUCUGCUCUCUGCCUCGGGUGCAGGUCAUUGUGUGGUCAGGGCCAGGUCCUAAGGGACAGGGCUGCAGACAAAUCCUUGUCCUGAGGAGCCCAUCACAAACGCUGUCGCCUCAGCUGGGGCUCGGGGCAGCCACCCCUCCCGGCCCCCUACUCUAAGGCAGGGGUGACCCCGAGGGUCUUCCUUCUCUGACAAGGCAGGCUGGCACCUGGCAACUCAGUCUGUUUGGCAUGUGCAGCCAGAAGAGAUUCUGAAGAGUUCCAAAGCCCAGGGCAUGGAGACUAUAGGCUACCCAGGAACCUGCUGUCCUUUGGAGUCUGCACUUCUCAACAAGUGGGCAGAGAGCCCUUUGAUAUCUGGGGGAGGAGCCAGAGAUCUCAAGCAGCUUGUGUUCGGGACUCCACACUCAUACUGUUGGUGGUUGCUGGUGCCCUCUUGUGACCAGGUUGGGGGAUUGCAAGGAAGAAGUUGCAGAAGCGGGCCAAGGUCAGUAAGCACAGAGGCUGAUUCCACAGUUUGGCUAUUGUGACUAGUGCUGUGUACUAUGUCUGUUUUGAAAAUGAGAAACUGAGCACAGAGUGGCUAAGGUUCUUACCCAGCAACACAAAGAGA